GGGCCGACUUCAGCUCCACGUGGCCCACCAGCAUGAAUGAGAAACCAGAAACGGAUAACUGGGAUGCAUGGGCAGCCCAGCCCUCUCUCACCGUUCCAAGUGCUGGCCAGUUAAGGCAGAGGUCCGCCUUUACUCCAGCCACGGCCACUGGCUCCUCCCCAUCUCCUGUGCUAGGCCAGGUAAAGGCAGCCAGUGAGAGUGUGAAGACUUAGCAUGCUAUCUAGUGCCAAAAACUUCAGCAAAUGCUUUUUGGCAAUGUCAUUUUGAAGCAAGCCUUGUUAUGUGUGUCUUGGUUGGCUGGCAGUAUGGGAAUCCAAUGCAGGAGCCAGAAAUCUGCUGUGAAUAGUUGGGAGUUGGGGGUGGGGGUGGGACACAGUCAACUUCUCCUGCCUGGGUUGAUGAAGGAAGCUUCAUUGCAGAAGUGGCACUUGAGCUGUAUCUUGACCAGUGGGUAAGAUCUUACUAGAAAAUGGAGAGAGUGGCCUGUCAGGCAGAAACUGCUGGGAGAAAGGCUUGAAGGCAGACAGUCAGAAUGUAUUUAAGGAAAAUCACACACCCCUCCAUUUGUCUAGACCAUUGAGUUUUUUUUGGAAAAGGUAGACCAAUUAAAGGUUAA
rnacentral:sRNA from 1 species